rnacentral:rRNA from 1 species
AUUGAACGCUGGCGGCAUGCCUUACACAUGCAAGUCGAACGGCAUCGCGGGAAAGCUUGCUUUCCUGGCGGCGAGUGGCGAACGGGUGAGUAACACAUCGGAACGUACCGGCUAGUGGGGGAUAACCCGUCGAAAGACGGGCUAAUACCGCAUACGCUCUUCGGAGGAAAGCAGGGGACCUUUGGGCCUUGCGCUAGUCGAGCGGCCGAUGUCCGAUUAGCUAGUUGGUGGGGUAAAGGCCUACCAAGGCGACGAUCGGUAGCGGGUCUGAGAGGACGAUCCGCCACACUGGGACUGAGACACGGCCCAGACUCCUACGGGAGGCAGCAGUGGGGAAUCUUGGACAAUGGGGGCAACCCUGAUCCAGCAAUGCCGCGUGGGUGAAGAAGCCCUUCGGGUUGUAAAGCCCUUUCGGCAGGGAAGAAAUCGGCGGGGCGAAUAACCCUGCUGGAUGACGGUACCUGCAGAAGAAGCACCGGCUAACUACGUG